CUCGUAGGCGGGGCUGCGCGUCGCGGAGUAAAUCCAUCUGCUUAACGGAUGGCUCAUCUGCGAUACGGCAGCUCUUGAGGACAGGAGAGGGAAGCGGAAUUCCGAGUGUAGCGGUGAAAUGCGUAGAGAUUCGGAGGAACACCGGUGGCGAAGGCGGCUUCCUGGCCUGAUUCUGACGCAGAGGAGCGAAAGCCAGGGGAGCGAACG
rnacentral:rRNA from 1 species